GUUCAAAAUACAGUGAUGUCUUUUCCAAGCAUAUAUCUAAUUGUUCUGUGUGGAAAAUGACUGUUACUAUGUGAUUUUUUGAUU